AGAUUGGCGGGGACACGUGUGGAACGCACGCUAUACCGCACACGCCUACGGGAAGCAUGGACUCUUUAGAGCUUGCACUAUGAUGAGCUAGUCGAUAGCUAGUGUGGUAAUGCUACAUGCGACGAUCUGUAGCGGUCUGAGAGAUGAUCGCACAUGACUGAGACACGUCAGACUCGACGAGCAGCAGUGGAUAUGACAUGGCGCAGCUGAUCAGCAUGCGCGUGUGUGAGAUGCAUUCGUGUCAGCACUCAGCGAGAGAAGCUACUGUAUUAUACUAUAUGAUAGUGGACGUACUCCAGAUAGCACGCUUACUCUCGUGUGCAGCAGCGCCGUAUAUACGAAGUGGCAGCGGUCAUCGAUACUGGACGGUCAGCGCGCGCGAGCGAUGUAGUUCGAUGUGUGAUCCGACUCACUGGAUGCAUCGAUACUGCAGCUAGAGUAUGAGAGGAUGUAGAUCAGUGUAGCGGUGAAUGCGUAGAGAUCUGAGAUACCGAUGCGAUGCAGCUCUGCUAUACUGACGCUGAGUGCGAGCAUGGAGCAACAGAUAGAUACCUGUAGUCAUGCGU
rnacentral:rRNA from 1 species